rnacentral:rRNA from 1 species
AACGAACGCUGGCGGCAUGCCUAACACAUGCAAGUCGAACGAGACCUUCGGGUCUUGUGGCGCACGGGUGCGUAACGCGUGGGAACCUGCACUUAGGUUCGGAAUAACUCCCCGAAAGGGGUGCUAAUACCGGAUAAUGUCUUCGGACCAAAGAUUUAUCGACUUUGGAUGGGCCCGCGUUGGAUUAGCUAGUUGGUAGGGUAAAAGCCUACCAAGGCGACGAUCAAUAGCUGGUCUGAGAGGAUGAUCAGCCACACUGGGACUGAGACACGGCCCAGACUCCUACGGGAGGCAGCAGUGGGGAAUAUUGGACAAUGGGCGAAAGCCUGAUCCAGCAAUGCCGCGUGAGUGAUGAAGGCCUUAGGGUUGUAAAGCUCUUUUACCCGGGAUGAUAAUGACAGUACCGGGAGAAUAAGCUCCGGCUAACUCCGUG